ensembl:lncRNA
GAAAAAGCAGAUUGUUUAAGAUUACGUUGAGCAUUUUUCUCAACAAAAGUAGUGCUAUAAUACUGUUUUAGUUUGCGCCACUACUAGAUCUGCCAAUUGAGCUAUUGUGCGUGAACUCUACCAAAACAAACUGACUGGAUUAACCCCACAUUAGCUACAUGCUUUGAGUGGCGUUCAGAUGGUUGACAUGAACAGUCACUUUGCCAUCUAAGGAACACAUACAUUGCAUUGCAAGCUUCUCUUUUUGACUCGAAUUCAAAGCGCUGCAAAAGCUGGUUUAUGUGUAACUGUAGCUAACUAGCAAACGUCAGCUAACUGCUAGCAAACGUCAGCUAACCGCUAACUAACAAAGUUUGACCUGUAAUGCAGUGCAGCUAAAAUGAAGAUCAUAGUUUUUUCAGGAUGGCAAAUCAGUCCGAAAGACUGGCAAAUGUAAAUGACUAUCAGGUCUUAGAGUUACUCACCUUUCUUUAUCUUUGGUUGAAAAAAAGCAUAGCAGCACCCUCAACAGAAUUCUCCAACAGAGUCGGAGAACGGAGUAACCUGCACCCGCUGAACCAGAACCUGCCCCAGGCGGAGUGGGUGCUGCUGAAGGUCAUCAAGCGAAAGUGGUCGGAGCCAAGGUGGACGGGUCCUCAUCAUGUGGUGGAGAGAACGAGUCAUGCGGUCCGCCUGAGGGACAAAGGAGAGACGUGGUACCAUUGGAGCCAGUGUACACCAGCGCAGGAGUGGCAGCAGGAGUCAGGGAGGUCGCUGACGGACCUCAUCCAAACCGGGAAGGAGGAGCUUGCCCCAGUGUGGAUGGAAGGAGGACCAGAACUAGCCGGACCAGUGCCAGGAGCGGACCCCAGGAUACUGCGGGACUACGAGCCAGAGAAGGAGACAAAGGACGGCGCCAGGGGAAUAUACUUUUAGGGGAAGGAGCUGAAGAAUAAGUGAGGGCUCGCCAUGAGAGUGAUUUCUACAGCUAUUGAGAAGGCUCCAGGACCGCCACCAGGGAUGCUGAUACCUCUACUGGAGCAGCAUGACCCGGGAGAACUGGAGCUUGGCGAAUAGGGGUGAUCAAGAGAUCAAAAGGGGGAAUUGUGGAUAUAUUGAUUGAAUAAGAUGUUAAACUGUUGUGAGCAUUCAGGCAACAUAUUAGAUGUCUGUGUCACAAGCUGAAACUGAAAUGUUACAAGUAGAGAACAGGAAGUGUAGGAGAGCAGACAGCCUGUCUUUGACAAAACAGGAAACAUUAAUAACGCACACACAUAUUGGGGAAAUUCAAGAUAUAAAACAUAAAGGGCAAAGAUGAUGCUUGUGCUGCAUUUAUACAUAUAAGGUAUAGAACAUAAAUUGGACCAAUGGCACACUUGCUUUGCUAACUUAACGCCUCUAUCUUUUGGGCGUAUUUGAAGUAUAAAUAAUGUUGUAUGACUGUUGAUCUUCGGACAUUGUGCGGCGACACUUGUCUCCAGAAGCUUCUGUAAUAAAUGGAUAUACGAUACGAUAAUUGACCUGACUUCUGUGUGUCAUUCUCCUAUCCAACUCGGGGAAGUGUUUGACUUCAACAAAAGCAAAUGCAGAGGUAGGUGGUGUUGGCCUGUUAGUCAGAACAGGGAGCAUAGACAGAGUACACUAGCACUUUGAGAUAGUUUUUUCAAUGUAAAGUGCACUACAAAUAAAAUGUAUUAUUAUUCACAAUCAGCUCCGGUCACUGGCAGCAUAAUCACCUAAACAUGGAAUACACUAGCUUUAUUAAUUACAUAAUUUGUGUUCUAGGCAAUGGUCCUUGGAACCUUGGCGGAGCAUUCAAUCCUGUUUUCUAAGGCUCCUGUAAUUGUUGAGCUUGCCCAGACCCUUUCCUUAGAAAAAACAGCUUUGCAGGGAAUCAAGCUGUCGCGGACGGCAGCUUCAUACAAGAUGAUCCAUGGUCUAGGUAUUUACAUUUUCUUUCUUGUGAUGUGGGGCAGCAAGACCGGCCUCGAGACCAGGAUGCACCAAUACUGUCCCAACCUGCUCAAUGUUGAUGGGGACUCCUGUCAUCAUAUACACAAUGCGGCAAAUAAGUUCUCAGAGCGCUUUGACAGCUACUUGGAGAAACUGUUCAGUGAUCUCCAGGUUGACCAUCAGUGGAGUCCAGACCAAGUAAACAAAAUGGUGAAGUACCUUAAGGAGAUAGCUAUGAUUCUAAAUCUCCCCGCCUCUAGCCCACAGAGGGGCUUUGUUCCUCAUCGCUGGCUGUCUGCAUAGGAUGCCAGCAUGGCAACCCAUGCCAUGAUGCCUGCGUACAAAGUCCUCUAUUAUGGCUACCUCUCCACUGCAGAUAAGGAGCUCUAUAGGGAGCCUUUGGAACUGAUGUACACCAAGUACCACAUCAAACAGGCGGCAAGAGCCAGUAUCAAGGUGGUUCAGGAGGAACUCAACAGGAAAGGCAUGACUCCACAAGGCCGUGAGAGAAAAAAGAGGGUAUGUCAGAAGCUGUGGCAUGAGGAGACGACAACAGUCCUACGGCUCAGCAUCUACAUGGGUGUGCUGGCUAUUCUCAAGGAGUAUGUCAUGAUUUUCCAGGGUAGCCAGACAUUGGUUCACAAACUUCAUGAUCGGCAGCUUGAGCUGUUCCUGGCCUUCCUGGCUUGCUUUGUGAAGGCCAAACACAUUACUCAGCUGUCUCCCAGGGCUCUGAGGGAGAUGGUCCUCGAGGAUCAUAUACUGCUGCCCUCCAAGGAGGUCUAUGUGGGAAAGGACGCUGACACGUUCAGGAGCCAGAAUCCCAAUCAUGCUUUUUUGGUGUUUUGUGUCAGCUGUUGGUGCCAUUCCUAGCAGACGUCAGGAAAGCCUACAUCACCACUGCAGUGUACCUCCAGAAGAAGCUCCCCUUGGCUAGUCCGACUCUGACAGCCCUGUCUGCUCUGGACCCUCUUCUGAGAGGCCACUCACAGGCAACCAUCCAGUUAAAUUUGUUUUUUUUGCCAUAUUACCAUGUACUUUGGGAUUUUUGUAACCUCAUCAAUCAAUCAAUCA